AAUGAAGCUUUUAUGUCACAAUUGUUAAAAAAUACAGUCAGAUAAUCACGUACCUGCACCCAUAACGAUUACCUAUUGAUUAAACAGUUAAAAACGUCACAUUUAGCAAGAACUAAAGAAUUGUUCAAUUAAAUGAGAAAUUGUGCCCAAGCUUUUGAGAAGUGGAUGUAUACACUCACAUAUUUCUUCCUCCAUGUUUUUGCGGUUGGUAUCAGCUGUUAACCGGUGCUGUUCUGGAUGAUGUAGGAAAGAGGCUGGGCUGGACAGAUGAACUUUCAUUUCUCAGAAAAUGAAAGAAAUUACCAACAUCUGAACAGGAGAGGGAAGCAAAAGGCAGACAGGGAUCUGAAAGGAGGAGGGUUUUGAAAUGGGAGGAACGUUUCCAUCCUAUUUAUUGCUCAGACAUAAUAUUGGACUUCCAUUCCAAUAAGGAAACAAACAUGGGACUACUAACUAUAGCAGCAGCUUCUGUAAUCACCGCAGGCGGAGCGGUUGUGGCUGCCCCGGUGGUUCUAG